rnacentral:rRNA from 1 species
UACGUAGGGUGCGAGCGUUGUCCGGAAUUAUUGGGCGUAAAGAGCUCGUAGGCGGUUUGUUGCGUCUAUCGUGAAAACCUGCAGCUUAACUGUGGGCUUGCGGUGGAUACGGGCAGACUUGAGUUCGGUAGGGGAGACUGGAAUUCCUGGUGUAGCGGUGAAAUGCGCAGAUAUCAGGAGGAACACCGGUGGCGAAGGCGGGAUCUCUGGGCCUUGCCUGACGCUGAGGCGCGAAAGCUAGGGGAGCGAACAGG